rnacentral:rRNA from 1 species
UGGGGCUGCCCGAUUCAUCCUCUCGUCGAGAGGUCACAUGGCGUGGCGAGCCUCAAAACCGUCACGAAGCGUGAACUCUUGGCGAAAUGGAGAACUUUCGUGUCCGCUGGUUAACAUCAAUUUCGACCGUCAUAAAAAGGCUGGAGGGAUGUGGCUCCUUCGGGAGUGUUAUAACCUUUAGCGGAAUGUGGUGGUCGGGAUUGAGGAUUGCAACGAAUACCUUUGGGGCUGUUUCACCUGGCUUCUCUUUGGUAUCCUGGUGACGACAGCUUGCUGACGUCGUUAGGAUUCGCCUUUGAACAGGCUAGAGUGUGAGCAAAUUCGUUAAGGAUGUUGACGUAA